CCUACGGGAGGCAGCAGUAGGGAAUCUUCCACAAUGGGCGAAAGCCUGAUGGAGCAACGCCGCGUGGGUGAAGAAGGUCUUCGGAUCGUAAAACCCUGUUGUCAGAGAAGAAAGUGCGUGAGAGUAACUGUUCACGUUUCGACGGUAUCUAACCAGAAAGCCACGGCUAACUACGUGCCAGCAGCCGCGGUAAUACGUAGGUGGCAAGCGUUAGCCGGAUUUAAUGGGGGGAAAGGGCACGCAGGCCGGCUGUUAAGCCUGAUGUGAAAGCCUUCGGCUUAACCGGGGAAGUGCAUUGGAAACUGGAAGACUUGAGUGCAGAAGAGGAGAGUGGAACUCCAUGUGUAGCGGUGAAAUGCGUAGAUAUUAGGAGGAACACCAGUGGCGAAGGCGGCUCUCUGGACUGUAACUGACGCUGAGGUUCGAAAGCGUGGGUAGCAAACAGGAUUAGAUACCCGAGUAGUC
rnacentral:rRNA from 1 species